rnacentral:rRNA from 1 species
CCUACGGGUGGCAGCAGUGAGGAAUAUUGGUCAAUGGGCGGAAGCCUGAACCAGCCAAGUCGCGUGAGGGAAUACGGCCCUACGGGUUGUAAACCUCUUUUGCCGGGGAGCAAGCCCGGGGACGUGUCCCGGCCCGGAGAGUACCCGGAGAAAAAGCAUCGGCUAACUCCGUGCCAGCAGCCGCGGUAAUACGGGGGAUGCGAGCGUUAUCGGGAUUUAUUGGGUUAAAAGGGUGCGAGGGCGUGCUAUUAAGUCGACGGUAAAAAUUCGGGGCUCAACCCCGUCCGGCCGUUGAAACUGGGGGCCUUGAGUGGGCGAGAAGAAGGCGGAAUGCGUGGUGUAGCGGUGAAAUGCAUAGAUAUCACGCAGAACCCCGAUUGCGAAGGCAGCCUUCCGGCGCCCUACUGACGCUGAGGCACGAAAGUGCGGGGAUCGAACAGGAUUAGAUACCCUAGUAGUC